CCUACGGGAGGCAGCAGUGGGGAAUUUUCCGCAAUGGGCGAAAGCCUGACGGAGCAAUACCGCGUGAGGGAGGAAGGCUCUUGGGUUGUAAACCUCUUUUCUCAGGGAAGAAAAAAAUGACGGUACCUGAGGAAUAAGCAUCGGCUAACUCUGUGCCAGCAGCCGCGGUAAUACAGAGGAUGCAAGCGUUAUCCGGAAUGAUUGGGCGUAAAGCGUCCGCAGGUGGUUUUGUAUGUCUGCUGUUAAAGAGUUAGGCUUAACCUAAUAAAGGCGGUGGAAACUACAAGACUAGAGUACGUUCGGGGCAGAGGGAAUUCCCAGUGUAGCGGUGAAAUGCGUAGAGAUUGGGAAGAACACCGGUGGCGAAAGCGCUCUGCUAGGCCUGUACUGACACUGAGGGACGAAAGCUAGGGGAGCGAAUGGGAUUAGAUACCCCAGUAGUCCUAGCCGUAAACGAUGGAUACUAGGCGUUGUCUGUAUCGACCCGGACAGUGCCGUAGCUAACGCGUUAAGUAUCCCGCCUGGGGAGUACGCAGGCAACUGUGAAACUCAAAUGAAUUGACGG
rnacentral:rRNA from 1 species